UACGUAGGGUGCAAGCGUUAAUCGGAAUUACUGGGCGUAAAGCGUGCGCAGGCGGUUGUGCAAGACAGAUGUGAAAUCCCCGGGCUCAACCUGGGAACUGCAUUUGUGACUGCACGGCUAGAGUGUGUCAGAGGGGGGUAGAAUUCCACGUGUAGCAGUGGAAUGCGUAGAUAUGUGGAGGAAUACCGAUGGCGAAGGCAGCCCCCUGGGAUAACACUGACGCUCAUGCACGAAAGCGUGGGGAGCAAACAGG
rnacentral:rRNA from 1 species